CCUACGGGUGGCAGCAGUGAGGAAUAUUGGUCAAUGGACGAGAGUCUGAACCAGCAAAGUAGCGUGAAGGAUGACUGCCCUAUGGGUUGUAAACUUCUUUUAUAUGGGAAUAAAAUGUUCCACGUGUGGGAUUUUAUAUGUACCAUAUGACUAAGGAUCGGCUAACUCCGUGCCAGCAGCCGCGGUAAUACGGAGGUUCCGAGCGUUAUCCGGAUUUAUUGGGUUUAAAGGGAGCGUAGGUGGAUAGUUAAGUCAGUUGUGAAAGUUUGCGGCUCAACCGUAAAAUUGCAGUUGAAACUGGGAGUCUUGAGUACAGUAGAGGUGGGCGGAAUUCGUGGUGUAGCGGUGAAAUGCUUAGAUAUCACGAAGAACUCCGAUUGCGAAGGCAGUUCACUGGACUGCAACUGACACUGAGGCGCGAAAGUGUGGGUAUCAAACAGGAUUAGAUACCCGGGUAGUC
rnacentral:rRNA from 1 species